rnacentral:rRNA from 1 species
UACGAAGGGGGCUAGCGUUGCUCGGAAUGACUGGGCGUAAAGGGCGCGUAGGCGGUCUUGUAAGUCAGCUGUGAAAGCCCGGGGCUCAACCCCGGAGGGUCGGCUGAUACUGCAGGACUGGAGUACGGAAGAGGUAGCUGGACUUCCCGGUGUAGCGGUGAAAUGCGUAGAUAUCGGGAGGAACACCAAUUGCGAAGGCAGCUCGCUGGAACGUUACUGACGCUGAGACGCGAAAGCGUGGGGAGCGAACAGG